UGGCGCGAGCACCGUCCGUGGAGCUCCCCGUGCCGCGCGCCGCAUAGCGAGAGACUCAACCGAGCCAGGCCCCAGGAGGCCGCGAGUGCAGCCAGCGAGCCGCCCAGCUUCCGCGUCGCAUACUACCCUCUCUGUGCGUGUGCGCGCCGCGUGCCACUGACCGGCGGCGACGCGGCCGAGUGCGUGCGCCACCGUACUGGAGACGCCAGCGCAGCAGCGUGUGCAGCACUUGUCGCUGAAGGUGACCUUGACGCCGGAACGCUGGAUCUGACGUCGGCAGCCAGGAUUAACCCCGUGCCGUCGGUUGCCGAUGUGUGACUGGAAAAUCGUAUGCCGGUUGUCCUUGGCCAAGUCUAGGCAGUUACGUGGUGUCAGGCUGUGAAACACCCUUAAGUGAGUUGCACAGAAGAAUGAAGGACUGUGGUGCUA